rnacentral:rRNA from 1 species
AUUGAACGCUGGCGGCAUGCCUUACACAUGCAAGUCGAACGGCAGCACGGGUGCUUGCACCCGGUGGCGAGUGGCGAACGGGUGAGUAAUACAUCGGAACAUGUCCUGUAGUGGGGGAUAGCCCGGCGAAAGCCGGAUUAAUACCGCAUACGAUCUACGGAUGAAAGCGGGGGCCCUUCGGGCCUCGCGCUAUAGGGUUGGCCGAUGGCUGAUUAGCUCGUUGGUGGGGUAAAGGCCUACCAAGGCGACGAUCAGUAGCUGGUCUGAGAGGACGACCAGCCACACUGGGACUGAGACACGGCCCAGACUCCUACGGGAGGCAGCAGUGGGGAAUUUUGGACAAUGGGCGAAAGCCUGAUCCAGCAAUGCCGCGUGUGUGAAGAAGGCCUUCGGGUUGUAAAGCACUUUUGUCCGGAAAGAAAUCCUUGGCCCUAAUACGGUCGGGGGAUGACGGUACCGGAAGAAUAAGCACCGGCUAACUACGUG